rnacentral:lncRNA from 1 species
CAGGACACCAGGAGUCGGACACUGGCCUUGGAAACGGAUUGUUUACAUUUGUUUGUAGUCUUCUUGAAGCAGAGGUUAGAUCAUAGCUCUUCUGGGCUGGAAAAGUCAACUAGAAUCUGCUAAUGGCCAGUUGUUCCACCAGGUUGCUUCUAGCCAGUCCUUCUGUGCUUUCCGGGAAGCCAAACAAAUAAGAUGCACUUCCGUCACCGCUCUGAGGACUCUCCUUGGCUGGCUCUUUCAGCCUGCAGGAAUGCUGGAGACCGGUGUAUGCUGGCCAUCAUACGACCCAACUCCGUGUCCCAGCACAUUCCAGGAAACUUACAGCAGGUGACUAAUGCACAUUUCGCCACCAUUUUGAGUUGCACGCGAUGGGGACUGUCAUUUGGUUGAACAAUACAUUAAAACUGUUUUAAGCACUUGUAUUACAAAAUAACAAUAAAAUCAUGG